rnacentral:lncRNA from 1 species
GCCAGACAGCUGAGGGCCCUGGCUGACCUGCUGGCCCAUUCACCUGAACAAGGUUCACCCAGGGCAGUUUCCACAAAUCCGGAGCAGAGCCAGAGAGCCAGCCCAUGCCUGGCACAGAGGAGACGCUCAACACCUGUCAUCCCUUCCCUUCUCCUGCCUGUCCCUCAGAGUUCCUGGAGCUUCCGUUCUGCUGAGCCUCAUGCUGCCCAUGCGACACAUCACGACCAUUUUCAGGACCACAACCUCCCUGUCCCAUGGCCGUUUUCUGAGGUCUAGAAGUCACCCCCUUGGGCUUAAGCAACCACGAGGCCAUGGAUGGUCACAAAUUUCCCUGGGCUGCACUCCACAAACCCUCCAGUGGGCACAGCACGUGUCUCUCACAUUUUGGAGAGAAAGGAACUGAGAACUCCCAUUUCUGGAACCCCAUGCCAGUUCUAGAAGGUUCCAUCCUGAAGAUGAAAGCUGAUUUGUCAUCUGUGGUGUGUCCCAAGAAAAGAAAAAUACCUCAUUUUGUACUGAGCACUAACUACACACCAGGUGCCUAUUGAAGCCUCUGAGGGUCAUGUCCAUCAAAGAAUCCUCCAGCCUCUUCCCCAGUAUCAAAGCAACCACUCAGGGUAAUCUCACGGAGCUGCAGAGUUGACGUCUGUCCUUGGAAGGGUCAUGGCCAGACGGCCACUCAGCCACAGGCAUUUGCCCAGCUGGCCACAAUCCCUGUGGGCAAGUGUCCCAGGCUCAAUUUUUGGCCUUCCAAGAAGCCAUUGGAGCAGAGGAGCUACAUUUCUGGGGCCAAGUCAUUCAUAAGAGAAGAGGAACAAGGCAAGCCGGGAAACAUGCUUGCCCCUCAACUGGGAGAGGCAAGAGAAGAUGACCAAGAUCAUCCAAAAGAACAUUCCAGCUUUUCUUCUUUGCCUGAAAGAAAACAAUUGACAGCCUCUACCAGGGAAUUAUGUCCUCGAAAGGCCAGGUAUAGCCCAGGAGGACAGAGAGCACUGGCUUUGGUGACAGGCAGAUCUGGGUUUGGGUCCCCACUCAGCCAUUUAAUUUGCUGUGUGACCUUGAAAAAGUGACCUUACCUCUCUGACUGUUUUCCUUUCUUUUUUCUUUCUUUUUUUUUUUUUUUUUUUGAGAUGGAGUCUUACACUGUUGCCCAAGCUGGAGUGCAAUGGUGUAAUCUCGGCUCUCUGCAGCCUCCCCCUCCCGGGUUCCAGCAAUUCUCCUGCCUCAGCCUCUAGAGUAGCUGAGAUUACAGGCACCCGCCACCACGCCCGGCUAAUUUUUUGUAUUUUUAGUAGAUACAGGGUUUCACUAUGUUGGCCAGGCUGGUCUCGAACUCCGGACCUCAUGAUCCACCCACCUCAGCCUCCCAAAGUGCUGAGAUUACAGGCAUGAGCCACCACACCCGGCAAAAAUAUGGAACGCUUCACGAAUUUGCAUGUCAUCCUUGUGCAGGGGCCAUGCUAAUCUUCUCUGUAUCGUUCCAAUUUUAGUAUAUGUACUGCCAAAGCGAGCACUGUUUUCCUUUCUGUAAACUGGGAAUAAUAGCAAUGCCCUUCCCCCAAAGGAUGGUAGUGAGAAUUGGCUGAAAUAAAAUGCUUUCUUCUAUAGUAAAGCAGUUGCAAGGAGUAAAAGCCAGAAGAAUAUUUAUUCAUUGGUUUGAGAAACAAAAUCAUUGAUGCCAACAUUCCCGGGGCCUUGAGUAAUUAUGCCAUGGGCUUGCCUGAAACACUGAUAAAUUUAGAGAAGCCACCAAAGCCACAGUAACUGAGGCCACACUAUGAGGUCAGCCUCUUUUUCCCCCCAGGUCUUUGAGGUGACAGUUUAGACAGGAGGUAGGAAUCUUGCUAAUGAAAGGAGAGCCUCACCUUCAAUUAAGGCGUCACCAGAGUGGGAAAUUCAUCAGCCCUGGUGAUGGUGACUUACGCCACACUUGAGCCUUGCAAGUCCAGGAUGACACAACCCAAGGCAGAAACCAUGAAAUUAGAACAAAGGUCUAAGUAAUAAGCAGACCUGGGAGUUCCAUUCAGGUGAGCAGGGCUGUUGCUCAGCAGGUGAGCCUGCCCCGCCAUGGAGACUCAGCGCUAGAGUGAGAACCACAUCUGCUCACACCAGGGGCCUGAACCCUGCUAACCCCACGGGGGGUUCUCACAGCCAAAAGCUCUUGUGACUCUUCCAAUAAUAGCAACUCCCACCCAGCGCCUUCUCUCCAAGAGCAGUGCUUCUCAAACCGCACUGUGCACAUGAAUCAGCUGGGAUGUUAUUAGAACGCAUCUUAAGGCAGCGGCUCAUGCCUGUAAUACCAACAUUUUAGGAGGCCAAGGCGGGAGGAUCACUUGAGGCUAGGAGUUUGAGACCAACCUGGGUGAUGUGGGCACAAGACCCCGGUCUCUAUACAAAAAUACUGUUUUUUAAUUAGCCAGGCAUGGUGGUGUGUGCCUGUAGUCCCAGCUACUCAGGAGGCUGAAGCAGGAGGAUCACUUGAACCCAGGAGGUCCAGGCUACUGUGAGCUAUGAUCAUACCACUGCACUCCAACCUCGGCAACAGGAAAAAAAGAAAAGAAAAGAAAGAAAUACAGCUUAAGCUUUAGUGGGUCUUGAGAUUCCACAUGUCUGACAAGCUCUCCGUGGAUACAGCUGGUGAACAAUGAGGGCCUAGACUUUCCUUGGGCCCCACAGACACCUUGGGUUGCCCUUCACCAGGUAGACCUGGGAACCCUGAUCAGUUUGUACUCCAAGAUUUAGGAUUCAAGCAACUAACAGCACAACUAUAAACUGGAUCCCUCAUGAUUUCUUUGGGGGUUGAGGGGAAAGGGAUAGGAUACAAAAUGAAUUAAACAUAAACAUUUGUGGCAGGAUAAUUUAUUGCAAGGUGAAUUUUUUGUUUUGUUUUGUUUUGUUUUUGUUUUUUUUAAGACAGAGUCUCGUUCUGUCACCCAGCCUGGAGUACAGUGGCGCAAUCUUGGCUCACUGCAACAUCCACCUCCUGGGUUCAAGCCAUUCUCUUGCCUCAGCCUCCCAAGUAGCUGGGACUACAGGAAUGCACCACCAUGCCCGUCUAAUUUUUGUAUUUUUGGUAGAGACGGGGUUUCACCAUGUUGUCCAGGCUGGACUCGAACUCCUGAACUCAGGUGAUCCUCCUGCCUUGGCCUCCCAGAGUGCUGGGAUUACAGCCAUGAGCCACGGCGCCAGGCCCUUUUUUUUUUUUUUUUUUUUUUUUUUUUUAGACAAAGUCUCGCCCAAGCUAGAACGCAUCAGCGCAAUCUUGGCUCACUGCAAUCUCUACCUCCCAGGUUCAAGUGAUUCUCCUGCCUGAGCCUCCCAAGUAGCUGGGAUGUGCCAUCAUACCCGGCUAAUUUUUGUAUUUUUAGUAAGGACAAGGUUUCACCAUGUUGGCUAGGCUGGUCUAGAACUCCUAACCUCAGGUGAUCCACCCACCUUGGCUUCCCAAAGUGCUAAGAUUAUAGACGUGAGCCACCGCGCCUGGCCGCAAGGUGAAUUUUUUUUCUCCCAGCAUACUGCCCUUUCCCCAACACACACACACCCUUUUCAGGUAGCAAGACCCUUUGAUGCCUUCUUGCCACAGAGAUUUUUAAAUUUCAACUAAUUUCAGAAGUCAGGCACUUUCCUUUAAAAACGGAGGGCUCCGGGUAAAGUCCAUCCUCUCCCAUCACCCCUACUCCUCACUCACAGCUUCAGACAUCCCUACGGAUAUUUAGGCAAAGGUAUUUUAAAAGAGAGAUGUUUGCAGGAUCAUGUUGGACUGGCUCUUCCUUUCUUUUAUUAAAAAUAUAUAAGCCGGCCAGGCUCGGUGGCUCAUACCUGUAAUCCCAGCACUUUGGGAGGCUGAAGCAGGUGGAUCACCUGAGGUCAGGAGUUCAAGACCAUCCUGGCCAACAUGGAAACCCCAUCUCUACUAAAAAUACACAAAUUAGCCAGGUGUGGUGGCAGGUGCCUGUAAUCCCAGCUACUCCGGAGUCUAAGGCAGAAGAAUCGCUUGAACCUGGGAGGUAGAGGUUGCAGUGAGCCGAGAUCACACGACUGCAUUGCAGCCUGGGUGGCAAAGCAACACUCUGUCUCAAAUAUAUAUAUAUAUAUAUGCCCAGGAUGCCAGGAGGGCAGAGGGGACAGUGGCUACCGUUUCCUAUCUUGUAUAAGAUGUAGUUGCAGGGUGGAGGUAAAUAGUGAUGGCACCAAAGGGAAGCUUGGGGGCCUUCAGUCUCCCCAUUAACUUCACCAGGACCCCUUCCCCUAAUCCCUGAACACAGCUAACCACAACACUCUUCAGAUGUGGAUCUCAGCACCCAAGGGGAGAUUCCCUCCCACAGGAAUGAGCCCUGCACUGGGGAGCAGAGGUGUGCUCUCCAUUGAGGCAUCUGGGCAGGGCUGAGCUCAGAAGGUCUUCCGGCUGCACCCAGGCUCCUGUCCCAAGCACACUCUUCCUGGAAGCAGCCCCCACAGACUCCCAGGACCCAGAGAUCGGGACUCCCAUGGUGUCAGUAUCAGAGACUAUGGCAUGGAAAUGCAGGGCCCCUACUCCCGACUUUGGGUGAGUUUCCCAUCGUGGUGAUGUGACACCUGGGAGGGGGAGGGACCCUAAAAUUACUGAAGAGGAAUUUAUGGCCACCUGUCUCUAAGGGAGCUUGGGGUCAGACCUAGGGAGUAUCAGUAGCAUUUUAAAAAGUGGUAUCAUACCUCCUGCAUACACUUAAUGAUAUUCAAUAUUUAGGAAUGCAGUUGCUUUUUUUUUUUUUUUUUUUUGAGUCUGAGUCUUGCUCUGUCACCAGGCUGGAGUGCAAUGGCAUGAUCUAGGCUCAAGUUCUGCCUCCCGGGUUCAAGCAAUUCUCCUGCCUCAGCCUCCUGAGUAGCUGGGAUUACAGGCGCGUGCCACCACGCCCGGCUACUUUUUUGUAUUUUUAGUAGAGACAGGGUUUCACCGUGUUAGCCAGGAUGGUCUCUACCUCCUGACCUCAUGAUCUGCCCGCUCGGCCUCCCAAAGUGCUGGGAUUACAGGCGUGAGCCACCGCGCCCCGGGAAUGCAUUUAUUUUUAAAGUAAUAUACAUACUAUAGCUUAGCAACACAUUAUCAAAUAAAUUAUUUGAUGAAAAAUUGCAAAAGUUACCAUCUGUGAAAAUAAUCUCCCAGUAUUGUUUCUUAGUGGACCUCUCCUGGUCUUAACUAUUCUAGGCUGGGAAACAUUGGUUUGUCCCUGAGCAAACUGCACUCCCUGACAUUUUUUGAACAUUAAAAAAAUUAUCACAAAAGUUUUACACAUUAUACAAUUCAUUAAUUAUUCAGUAAACUCUUCACCUUGAUCCUUUUUUCAAAGUGUUAAAAUUCUGAAGUCUCUGUAAAAUAAAAAUACCUUUAAAUUUUUAUUUAUUUAUUAUUUUAUUAUUUUUAGAGACAGGUUCUCGCUCUGUUGCCCAGGCUGCAGUGCAGUGGUACCAUUAUGGCUCACUGUAGCCUCAACCCCCUGGACUCAAGCAAUCCUCCCACCUCAGCCUCCUGAAUAGCUAGGAUUAUAGGCACACGUCACAAGUCCAGCUAAUUUUUUUAUUUUUUAUUUUUGUAGAGACCGGGUCUCACUAUAUUGGCCAGGUUGGUCUUAAACUCCUGACCUCAAGCAAUCCCCUUGCCUCAGCCUCCCAAAGUGUUGGGAUUACAGGCAUGAGCCACUGUGCCCUGCAAAAAUACCUUUAGGUGCCAUUUGAUUGAGUGUUACCUAUUGGUGUCUCUACUGCAUGCAACUCUGCAGAGGAAGCAAUUCAUGAGCUAUGCUCAAACCUUUGUCAUCACUGCUGCCAAUAGCUUUUCCCAAGGAGGUAGAUCUGAGAAACAGAGGGAGAUCCUUGGACAUGGUGGUAAAAUUCAGGAGGAAAAAAAAUGCAACAGAAAAGCUGCUUUCUUGUGCUUUCCUCUUUGCUAAGACUGGCUCCCUGCAGGCCCCUCCUUCUGUGAGUAAGAACGGAGGCGGGUUCUCUCUUUUGUUCUAGGUACAGUCAUGGGAGAGAUGCUGCCUCUUCCCCAAAGGCACAAUAGCACCGAUAUUUGAAGAGUCAGUGAUAGACGAUUUCAUCAGAAGGUUCUGGCAACAGAAACUACCAAACGACUUAUUUUAAAAACAAAACAAAAUGGAAAAUAUUAAAAUCCAAUCAGCUCAUUGAUCACCAGGGAGAAAGAAAAUGAACAUGUGUCUCUUGUACUCAGCCUGCUCUAAAAUAUGAAACUGGAAUGUGUUUCAGAAAGCAACAAAGAUGUGAGUAUGGAAUAUUAAAGCACUAUGAUAAUUUGAUAGUACAAUUUUCCUUUGUGGAUUUCCUGUAGUGACCAAUAUUAAUAUAAUAGGAGUGAACAUCUACUGGGUACUUAUUACAUAUUAGCAUUUUCUAUGGUAUUUUAUUAGGUUACAGAACAACCCAAUGAGGAAAGUACUACUCUUGUCAGCCCUGUUUCAUAGACUAGGAACAGAGGAACCGUGAUUCACCCAAAGUUUUGAGUGAUUCACCCAAAGUUUUGUGGCUAAUAAAACUCCAUUCCAGCCCAGGCGCAGUGGCUCAUGCCUGUAAUCCCAACACUUCGGGAGGCCGAGGCAGGCAGAUCACUUGAGGUCAGGAGUUCAAGACCAGCCUGGCCAACAUGGAGAAACCCUGUCUCUACUAAAAACAUAAAAAUUAGCCAGAUAUGGUGGCAUGUGCCUGUAACCCUAGCUACUCAGGAGGCUAAGGCGUGAAAAUGGCUUGAACCCAGGAGGCAGAGGUUGCAGUAAGCUGAGAUUGUGCCACUGCACUCUAGCCUAGAUGACAGAGUGAGACUACAUCUCAGAAACAAAAAACAAACAAAAACUCCAUUCCAGCCUGGGCGCCUCUCUCCAGGCCCUCACUUCCAACCCAGAACACACUAGAUUCCAGAGGGAAACCCAGUCGCCAGCCUGAAGCUGGCAUUCAGGUUGCCCUUCUCAGGGAACUCAAAGGGUGACGCAGGAAUUUUCUCUGUUUUGCUUGUUUUGAGUCAGGGCCUCUGUCGCCCAGGCCAGAAUGCAGUAGCAAGAUCAUGGGCUCACUGCAGCCUUGACCUUCCUGGGGUCUAGCGAUCCUUCCACCUCAGGCUCCCAAAUAGGUGGGACUACAGGCAUUCCACUACACCCGGCUAAUUUUUGUAUUUUUGGUAGAAACAGGAUUUCACCAUGUUGCCCAGUCUGGUCUUGAACUCCUGGGCUCAAGAGAUCCUCCCACCUCAGCCUCCCACAGUGCUGGCAUUACAGGUUUGAGCCACUGUGCCUGGCCAGUGCAGGCAUUUUCUCCUUGGCCCUUAUCAGCUUGGUGGAGCUAAGAGCAUUAUUUUCUCCUGAUGAAGAGCUAAGCCUCUGGGCAGAAGUUGAGCAGCCCAGGCAAGGUCAAGAAGGGAAUGAAUGGUAGACUUUCUGGUCUCAGGCUGCAAAUUCCUUCUGUCUAAUCGAACUACCCCAAAAGGCACAAAAAGAAAACAAAAAUGUACCCUCUUGCUCCAAAACCAUUCUCCUGGCUUUCUCAGCCCUUUAUGGGACAUCUCAGCCCUUUAUGUAUUUUUGUUCUUAUUUUUUUGAGACAGGGUCUUGCUCUGUUGCGCAGGCUGGUGUAUAGUGGUGCCAUCAUAGCUCACUGCAGCCUCGAAGUCCUGGGCUCAUACAAUCCUCCCACCUCAGCCUCCUGAGUAGCUGAGACUACAGGCACACACCAUCAUAAGCUGCUAAUUUUUAAAAUUUUUUUGUAGAGAUAGGGUCUUGUGGUAUAGCCCAGGCUGGUCUCAAACUCCUGGUAUAAAGUGAUACUUCUGCUUUGGUCUCCCAAAGUGUUGAGAUUACAGGUGUAAGCCACUGUACCUUGCCUCAUCUCAGUCCUUUAAAGAUGCACCGGAGGCUCUGCUAGUCAUUAGAAACCAGUGCAUAUAGUGUGUGUGUGUUUGUUUAUGUGUGUGUAUGUGUUUUGUAAGGGUGACAGAGUUGGCGAGUGAGGGCAACAACCAAGGAAUUCAAUCAACUCAAUAGAGAAAAACAUUACAUCACUGACAAUGUAGCAGCAGGGCCAGGUGGUGGCUCUUGCCUAUAAUCCCAGCACAUUGGGAGGCCGAGACGGGUGGAUUGCUUGAGCCUAGGAGUUUGAGACCAGUCUGGGCAACAUGGCGAAACCCCGUCUCUACUAAAAACACAGAAAUUAGCCAGGCAUGGUGGUGCAAGCCUAUAAUCCCAGCUAUUCAGGAGGCUGAGGCAGGAGAAUUGCUUGAACCUGGAAGGCAGAGGUUGCAGUGAGCCAAGAUCAUGCCACUACACUCCAACAUAGGUGACAGAGUGAGACUCAGUCAAAAAAGAAAGAAAGAAAGAGAGAGAAAGACGGAAGGAAGGAGAAAGAAAGAAAGAAAAGAGAAAGAAAGAAAGAGAAAGGAAGGAAGGAAGAAAGAAAGAAAGAAAGAAAGAAAGAGUAGCAGUAAACAUGAGACUAGUUGCCAUAGCAACCAUUUAAUUGACAUUUUCAUUUUCCCAGCAUUUGUUCUGGGCAGGUGUGGGCAGACAUGUGUCCUCAGGGAUGUGCAAGGAUGAGGGUGUGUCUGUUUCCCCCAUUAGUCUUCAUAAUUGAAGGGGUUGGUACUGCUCCUAGACAAGGCCUUGGGAAUCGGGACUUUAACAGUGCACAGAAAACCCCGUCUGAGAACAUCCACAGCAGGCAGAGCCAACCUCACCGUGUAAAGGCAGUGGAGGUGAUGGUGAACUUGCUUGCUGCGUGGAUGGGAUGCUGAGGCUCAAGUGGAGGGCCAUACAGAUUGGCCUUGGCAGAGCGCAGCCCAGACCCAGGUCCGCUAACUCCUGGUGGGCCACACUGGCUUGAAGCCACACUGGCUUGCUGAACCAGGGUCAAGUAGCCGGGGUUAGGGGAAAAAAUAUAAGACGAGGAAGAAGCAUAGCACAGCUUAAAUCCAUCGAGAGUGCAGAAUCACCUUUCAUCUUCUGAAGGAGCAAUUGUUUUCUGUACCAAACCACACAAUGCAAGCAAAUCUGCUGCCAAAGAACAAAGAGAAAAAUGCAGGGAACAAGCAGCUUCCCAAGCCUCGCAGCCGGGGAUGGAAUUAAAUUCAAAUUCACCUGCAAGAGCAGCUGAUGGUUCAGCUACAAACCGCCUCCAAGCAGCCUCUGAGAUUCAAAAUUCAUGCGCCCUGCGAACUACACAGCAUAUACUAGUGGCAGCCCUGGCUGGGUCCUCGCAGCCACGCAAUUUUUGAGGAUGACACACAUGGAAUACUAAACAUAUCCCGGGAGUUCCAGACACAGCCACCUAGUUACAGCCCAGCCUGCUCUUGUCUGCAGCAAUUUUUCUCAAAGGUGCGGCUUCAUGCAUAUCUAUUACCAAGCACACGUAGACAAGACGGUGUUCGGAAAGCACAGCCCCGAGUGGGAAACAGGAGCUGUCAGCAAAUCAUUUUCACAGGAACAGGAAAAUCUUUACGUGGAAAAUAUUGCUUUGGGACUUCCCCGGGAGGAAAGAACGAGCUGAAAUUGAUGGUGUUGCAGCUUCCAUUUUCCAAAAAGCAAAAUGCUUUUAAGACCAUCAGGGUUACGCUUGAUCAUAGCUUUGCUUAAUCCAUUUCUUCACGGGUUUUGCCCUUGUCAUCUUUGCUUCCUGAACCACUCCUGCACCUUACAGUCACCGCAAAUCCCAUCCCAUAAAAAUCUGUGGCGUCUCUGUGUGUGGAAAUCAAACAACAAAAAGGCACCGCCAUGUGUAGCUGCGUUACGCUUUCGGUGGAAAGAUGACAUGGAUGAAAUGGCCCCUGGGAAACACUGGGGAGGCCUGACUAGCAAGGUGCAGAGUGGGGGAUUAAUGGGGAGAUACACAGGGCCUCUUACUAAAACUGAGAAUAGCAUUCUGUUGAAGAACCCUUAUUUUGAGGCUGGGCACAGUGGCUCACGCCUGUAACAUCAGCACUUGGGGAGGCCGAAGUGGGAGGAUUACUUGAGGCCAGGAGGUCAAGGCUGCAGUGAGUUAUGAUCAAGCCACUGCACUUCAGCCUGAGUGACAGAGGGAGACCCUGUCUCUAAAAAAAUUAAAAAGAAACCAUAUUUGGGGUGAUGAUAUCCAUCCCCUAAAAUAAUAAAGAUUAGCUGGGCACAGUGACUCAAGCUUGUAAUCCCAGCACUUUGGGGAGGCCAAGGCGGGAGGAUCCCUUGAGCUCAGGAGUUCAAGACUAGCCUGGGCAACAUGGGGAGACCCCAUCUCUACAAAAAGGAAAAAAAAAUUCCAGGCAUGGUGGUGCACACCUGUGGUCCCAGCUACUUGGGAGGCUAAAGUGGGAGGAUCACUUGGGAUUGGGAGGUGGAGGCUACGGUGAGCCAUGAUCAUCCCACUGCACUCCAGCCUCGGUGACAGAGCAAGACCAUGUCUCAAUAAUGAUAAUAAUAAUAAAAAGAUUAUUUAUAAAUGUCUCUGUAACUGAAACACCCCCUCAAAAAAAUCCUGUAAAUUGGAGACCUUACCUAUCAUCGUUCCCUUCAUUUUAUUUUAAAUUUCAUUGAAAUUUAUCCUAAAGCACUUCCUGUGACUUGAAAAUGCAGGCAUUUUGGCUAACAUUAUUAUUCAUUUCUUUACAUUUGAAUGUAAUAAACGUGUCAGGUUUAUUUAUCUGAACUUAAAUCUAAGUUUUAGUGAUUUUUUCCCCCC